AGAAAACUUCGUUUUUUCUUUUCAGUUCCACAAUACUCCAUCUUUCUCCAAUGUCCUUACAAAACUAAACACCAUACAUAAAAACUACAGAACUUUAUCUCUCCCUUUCUUAUCUCCCCCCUUUUUUUGUCAAAAAGCUUUUCGGGCUACCAAAGGGUUUGUUCAAUGUUGUAGAUCAGCUCUGAGAGUCGAAUUCUUUAGGCUAUGGACUGUUGGAUGUCAGCUGUUAGGGCGUCUACCUUGUUACAAAGCAAGUAGUCGAGCAAGCUCUUUGUUGACAAUGGAUCUGUGCUAUGAAGAUAGCCAAUUUCUCACCGCUAACUUCUGAAGAAUGGCAUACUUCAUCAUGAGUUUUGUUGAGGAAAGUGUUCCACCUUCAGGCAACCUAGCUGCUACUUUUCUCACUAUUUCUUUGGCAAUCUUCUCAAUAUUUCUUAUGCAUUUUCCUCUGUUUCCCAAAUGAUCAAGAAAUUGGUUUAUUACAACUGGGUUGAAGUUAAACUUUUGACCCCUCACUAUCACUUGCAUAAAGGUUUUUGAGUCUUUUUCAGUUUUCCCAUUUUGAAGAUUACAGUAGGACUCUCGAACAAUAUUGGCUGGGAACACUUUUUCAAAAGUAAUAGACUUGAUUAAAUUUGUUGAUCCAAGAACAUAGAGCCCAUACCUUUCAAAUCGAUUCCUGUUAAUGACAUGCUUAACUAACAACCCUCUUUGUGUCACAAAUUACCACCUUUUCCUUGCUUUUUGGUUGACAAAAUAUCGGGCUUUUACCUUUACAUAAUCAUGGUCAUGUUUCAACCGAGCUUCCCUUGUCAUUGGCUCUAUUAAUUUUUCUUAUCUAGGUUGUUUGGCUUUUUUUUGGCCAUCACCUCGGCGAAUGUUUGCCUAGCCUCAUCGAUGGUAAAUCUGACCUUACCCUUUAGUUCAACCAGGUGCAAUAUACUAAGCUUUAGCCGUAAAUAGAGAUAUAGAGUUUUGUUUCUUAUUGUACCAUAAAACUGAGUUGUUUCCCGCAUAAAAACAUGCCCUGAAAGUAGUUUUUCUGUCAUUGACCCAAUUCGCAUCACUGUAGCCUACCAAGGCAAGGUUAUUGUCUUGAAAACCAUAAACCAAAGUUAGAAGUCCUUUUGACAUAUUUGAUGAUUCUCUUGGAUGCUUUGAGAUGAGACUCUUUUAGAUCAGCUUGAUAUCAAGCGCAUACUUCAACAGUUUGAGAAAUGUAUGGUUUAUUUGUAGUUAAGUAGAGUAAACUUCUAAUAAUACUUCAUUAUGUCUUA